UUGUGCCACUGCCAUGGAAUCCUGGAAUCAUGGAAUGCUCUGGCCAGGAAGGGACAUUAAAGCUCCUCUCAUCCCACCCCUGCCAUGGCAGGGACACCUCCCACUGUCCCAGGCUGCUCCCAGCCCUGUCCAGCCUGGCCUUGGGCACUGCCAGGGAUGCAGGGGCAGCCACAGCUGCUCUGGGCACCCUGUGCCAGGGCCUCUUCACCUCACAGAGAAGGAUUUUUUCCUAAUAUCCUAUCUAAUCCUGCGCUCUGACAGUGGGAAGUCAUUCUCCCUUGUCCUGGCACUCCAUCCCUUGCUGAACAGCCCCAGUUCUCCCAGCCUUUCCUCACAGGAAAGGUGCUCCACCCUCCCAUCACCCUCAGGACUCAGGAGAAGUCCUUGGCUCCUCUGUUCCUCCUCCUAAGUCAGAUGAAACCUGUCCUGGUCCAUCCUGGGUGAAACUUGUGGGACAAACACCCAGAGAGAAGAGACCCUGAGAAAUGAGACGAUGAACACAUCAAACCUUCCAGCUCAAAACAACAACAAAAUUGUAAAUACUGACUGAGCACACAUUGAGGGCAGAGGAAAUCCCAGGUAGAGAUGUGUUGGAAAAGGAGGGACAGCCCAGCUGCUCCUCUCCUGCCUGAGGGCCUACAACUGGUGCAGGGCCAUCUUGGGCAGAUUGUUCUAUAGAGGAGUUACAAAGAGGCUCUAAGAGAAUCCUGCACAGCUCAGAGCCCAAAAAACACCAGAGUGAAAGAGAGGGGAAUAUGGCACUCAGGGCCACACUCACUCCAGCCAGGAAUUUGUUUGGAAAACUCUGCUCAUUCUUCACGCAGCUCCUUUUGCCUCUCAGAGAGAGGCAGAGGGGACCUGCGAAUCCUUGGUUGGGCAGAGGGGGUGGUUAUUGAAAGGGGUCUUUUGCCUCCAGUUUUGUUCCUCCCCUUCCUCACCAAAGCCCCAUUUUAUGAGCCACAGCUUCUGAAAGAGCAUAAAAGUUUCAGAGCAUUUGUGAAGGAUAAAAUGAAGAGAAGGCAACUUUCUUACAACUUCACUGAAAUCCAAGGAAAACUGGGGAAACUUCCAUGCCCCUCCAGAUCAUCAGCAUAGAGGCUGAGGAAGAUGAAGGAAAACCAAAAUGGAAUGAAAUCUUCAAGUGCCUCUCCAGCAAUUCAUCUAUCCCAGGAGGAACAAGGAGGCCUGAGGAUAGAAACUAUCUUUUUUCUAAACAUCUUAAACUUGAGAUAAUCAGUGUAGAGUCAGGUUUUUUUCAAACAUUUUCCUGAGGAAAAAAAGAGAAAAUAAAAGGUCUCUGUGAGGCAAGAGCCACCUGUGCUUCCAUCCCCUGGGAAUUUUGCUUGGAGUUGCAUCUUCCUGCCUCUUGUCUGUCUUGGGUUCACUCCCUCCUUGGCCGCAGCCCUUUGUGAUUUCCUGUGUUUGAAGCCUGCUCAAGCUUUUCUUUGUUGCACAAAACCUGCCUGUAAAGCUCCGUGUUUUCCAGGAAAAUGCUGGCAGGACAUCCAUAACCUUUCAGCAUCCCUUUCUUGUUUCCUUCUAAGGCCUGAACUCUUUCAGUGGCCCCUUCAGAUGUUCUCAGCUGAAUUUGACAGCCAGGACCUGCCACCAGCAAUGCCCAAAUGCUGCUCUGAGGAAUUGGGUUUAUUCCAGGUAUUUCUGCUGGAAUUACAGGCCACAGACACAACAAAGCUUUGCAUAUAAUAAUAUCCUUCCCCAAAAAAAAAAAAAAAAAAAAAGGUUUCAAAACAGCCCAGAUAAGCAGAAUAAAAGCUUCUUCUUUUUUACAUAAUGUCUUUCUAUUCCCCAGAAUCCCUUUCAAGGCUUUGUGCAAGGGAGACAAAUCAUCUCAAUUACAAAUAAUCUUCAUUUCCUGAUUCUCUAGUUACUUUGCUGUGUUUCCCUGUCAGGUCUAAGGUCUUCCCAAGGCAGAUUCCUUCUAAUCCAAGAGGAAUGUGUUUCAGAGGAGACUGGCAAAGGAAAAUCCCAAUUGCUGAGACUUUCCUGAGGGGGAAACCGUAUCUCUGAGUGCAGAAACAACAGGAAAAAAUAAUCAUUGCCACCUGGAGCUGGACAAGGGAACUUUUCAGAUGGAUGAUCCAAACAAACUUUUCAGCUGGAUGAUCCAAAUGGACUGGAGAAAAUAAUUUUAUAGAAUCACAGAAUGGUUUGGCUUGGGAGGGACCUUAAAGCCCAUCUCAUUCCAACCCCAUGGGCAGGGAUACCAGUGAAAGCCCGUUUGCAGACAUUGUGCUUUCCCAGGGAGAAAGCAUCCGAGAAAAGCCACCUCAGGCCAACCAAAUAUUUCAUUUGACCUGAAGGUAACAGAUUUAUGGCGUCUGAGUCACUUAAUUAAUUUUUAUUUACAGUUUAGAUCAGUGCUAUUUCCAAGCAUAAAGUCAAAAGAAGCAUUUCAAGUACA